GGGCCCGCACAAGUGGUGGAGCAUGUGGUUUAAUUCGAUGCAACGCGAAGAACCUUACCAACCCUUGAAAUCUAGCGAAGUUCACAGAGAUGAGAAUGUGCCUUCGGGAACGCUAUGACAGGUGUUGCAUGGCUGUCGUCAGCUCGUGUCGUGAGAUGUAUGGUUAAGUCCAGUAACGAGCGCAACCCCUAUCCUUAUUUGCCAGCGCGUUAAGGCGGGAACUAUAGGGAGACUGCCGGGUGAAACCCGGAGGAAGGCGGGGACGAGGUCAAGUCAUCAUGGCCCUUAUGGGUUGGGCUACACACGUGCUACAAUGGGAAGUACAGAGGGAUGCGAAAGCGCGAGCUGGAGCCAAACCCUUAAAACUUUCUUAGUCCGGAUUGGAGUCUGCAACUCGACUCCAUGAAGUCGGAAUCACUAGUAA
rnacentral:rRNA from 1 species